UAUGGCCACAUCAUAUUGAAACACCAGUUUUCUAUACAAUCACCAAAGUUAAGCAAUGUCAAGCCUGAUCAGUAUCUAGAUGGGUGACCACUUGGGAAUAACAGGUGCUGUA
rnacentral:rRNA from 1 species